CUAGGUGUGAGCGGUAUUCCACGCCGUUCGUGCCGCAGCUAACGCAUUAAGCACCCCGCCUGGGGAGUACGGCCGCAAGGCUAAAACUCAAAGGAAUUGACGGGGGCCCGCACAAGCAGCGGAGCAUGUGGCUUAAUUCGACGCAACGCGAAGAACCUUACCAAGGCUUGACAUGCAGGGAAAUCCUCCAGAGAUGGGGGGUCCGCAAGGGUCCUGCACAGGUGGUGCAUGGUUGUCGUCAGCUCGUGUCGUGAGAUGUUGGGUUAAGUCCCGCAACGAGCGCAACCCUCGUUCUAUGUUGCCAGCGCGUGAUGGCGGGGACUCAUAGGAGACUGCCGGGGUCAACUCGGAGGAAGGUGGGGAUGACGUCAAAUCAUCAUGCCCCUUAUGUCUUGGGCUGCACACAUGCUACAAUGGCCGGUACAAAGGGCUGCUAAACCGCGAGGUGGAGCGAAUCCCAAAAAGCCGGUCUCAGUUCGGAUUGGGGUCUGCAACUCGACCCCAUGAAGUCGGAGUUGCUAGUAAUCGCAGAUCAGCAACGCUGCGGUGAAUACGUUCCCGGGCCUUGUACACACCGCCCGUCACGUCACGAAAGUCGGUAACACCCGAAGCCAGUGGCCCAACCCGCAAGGGGGGGAGCUGUCGAAGGUGGGGCUG
rnacentral:rRNA from 1 species